rnacentral:rRNA from 1 species
GAUAAACGCUGGCGGCGCACAUAAGACAUGCAAGUUGAACGGACUUAAUCGAAAUAUUUAUAUUUUGAAGCGGUUAGUGGCGGACUGGUGAGUAACGCGUAAGGAACCUGCCUAUUAGAGGGGAAUAACAGUGAGAAAUCAUUGCUAAUACCGCAUAUGCCAUAGAUAUCACAUGAUAACAGUGGGAAAGGAGCAAUCCGCUAAUAGAUGGCCUUGCGUCUGAUUAGAUAGUUGGUGGGGUAACGGCCUACCAAGUCGACGAUCAGUAGCCGGACUGAGAGGUUGAACGGCCAAAUUGGGACUGAGAUACGGCCCAGACUCCUACGGGAGACAGCAGUCGGGAAUAUUGCGCAAUGGAGGAAACUCUGACGCAGUGACGCCGCGUAUAGGAAGAAGGUUUUCGGAUUGUAAACUAUUGUCGUUAGGGAAGAGAAAGGACAGUACCUAAGGAGGAAGCUCCGGCUAACUACGUG